UUGAACGCUGGCGGAAUGCUUUACACAUGCAAGUCGAGCGGCAGCGCGGGGGCAACCCUGGCGGCGAGCGGCGAACGGGUGAGUAAUGUAUCGGAACGUACCCAGUCGUGGGGGAUAACACAGCGAAAGCUGUGCUAAUACCGCAUACGUCCUGAGGGAGAAAGCGGGGGACCGUAAGGCCUCGCGCGAUUGGAGCGGCCGAUAUCGGAUUAGCUAGUUGGUGGGGUAAAGGCUCACCAAGGCGACGAUCCGUAGCUGGUCUGAGAGGACGACCAGCCACACUGGAACUGAGACACGGUCCAGACUCCUACGGGAGGCAGCAGUGGGGAAUUUUGGACAAUGGGGGCAACCCUGAUCCAGCCAUUCCGCGUGAGUGAAGAAGGCCUUCGGGUUGUAAAGCUCUUUCAGCAGGAACGAAACGGUGGCCCCUAAUACGGGCUACUAAUGACGGUACCUGAAGAAGAAGCACCGGCUAACUACGU
rnacentral:rRNA from 1 species